rnacentral:rRNA from 1 species
UAGUACGGCGAGUGAGAGGGAAGAGCCCAAGAUUGAAAGCUGGCGUCUUCGGCGUCCGCAUUGUAAUCUCAAGAAGUGUUUUCCGCUUCGGACCAUGCCUAAGUCCCUUGGAAAAGGGCAUCAUAGAGGGUGAUAAUCCCGUACAUGGCAUGGAGCGCCCGAAGCUUUGUGAUACGCUUUCUACGAGUCGAGUUGUUUGGGAAUGCAGCUCAAAAUGGGUGGUAAAUGCCAUCUAAGGCUAAAUAUUGGGGAGAGACCGAUAGCGAACAAGUACAGUGAUGGAAAGAUGAAAAGAACUUUGAAAAGAGAGUUAAACAGUACGUGAAAUUGCCAAAAGGGAAGGGUAGGAGGUCAGAGAUGCGUCUUGGGAUUCAGCCUUGCUUUUGCAUGGUGUUUUUCCCAAGUUGCAGGCCAACGUCGGUUUUGGGCACUGGAGAAGGGUAGGAGGAACGUGGCACCUCUCGGGGUGUGUUAUAGCCUCCUACUGGAUACAGCGACCGAGACCGAGGAACGCAGCGUACUCGUAAGAGCGGGCCUUUUGGCACCUUUACGCUUAGGGCGUUGGCAUAAUGGCCCUCUACCACCCGUCUU